rnacentral:rRNA from 1 species
UUCCGGUUGAUCCUGCCGGAGGCGACCGCUUUGGGAGUUCGAUUAAGCCAUGCGAGUCGUGAGUCUUAGGGACUCGGCAUACUGCUCAGUAACACGUGGAUAACCUGCCCUAUCGUCUGGAAUAACCUCGGGAAACUGAGAAUAAGGCCGGAUAGUUCACAAUGCCUGGAACGGUUUGUGAAUCAAGGUAGGAUGGGUCUGCGGCGUAUCAGGUUGUAGGGGGUGUAAAGGACCCCCUAGCCUUCGACGCGUACGGGUGUUGGGAGACAUAGCCCGGAGAUGGAUUCUGAGACACGAAUCCAGACCCUACGGGGUGCAGCAGGCGCGAAAACUUCACACUGCAGGAAACUGUGAUGAGGGAACUCCUAGUGCAUGCACUAUGUGUAUGUAGAUCCUACUCUUAACAAGUAGAGGGAAAGGGCUGGGAAAGACCGGUGCCAGCCGCCGCGGUAAUACCGGCAGCUCAAGUGGUCGUCGCUUUUAUUGGGCCUAAAACGUCCGUAGCCUGUUUGGUAAAUCUGUGGGUAAAUCAACUCGCUCAACGAGUUGAAUUCUGCAGAGACUGCCAGACUAGGGACCGGGAGAGGUGUGGGGUACUCGAGGGGUAGGGGUAAAAUCCUGUCAUCCUUUGAGGACCACCAGUUGCGAAGGCGCCACACUGGAACGGAUCCGACGGUCAGGGACGAAGCCUAGGGGCACGAACCGGAUUAGAUACCCGGGUAGUCCUAGGUGUAAACGCUGUGAACUUGGUGUCGGGGAUCCGUCAUGGGUCCCCGGUGCCGGAGUGAAGAUGUUAAGUUCACUGCCUGGGGAGUACGGUCGCAAGGCUGAAACUUAAAGGAAUUGGCGGGGGAGCACUGCAACGGGAGGAGCGUGCGGUUUAAUUGGAUCAACGCCGGA